rnacentral:rRNA from 1 species
UCGGGAAUUUUGGGCAAUGGGCGAAAGCCUGACCCAGCAACGCCGCGUGAAGGAUGAAGUAUUUCGGUAUGUAAACUUCGAAAGAAUGGGAAGAAUAAAUGACGGUACUAUUUAUAAGGUCCGGCUAACUACGUGCCAGCAGCCGCGGUAAUACGUAGGGACCAAGCGUUGUUCGGAUUUACUGGGCGUAAAGGGCGCGUAGGCGGCAAUUCAAGUCAUCUGUGAAAUCUCCGGGCUUAACUCGGAACGGUCAGAUGAUACUGCUUUGCUAGAGUGCAGAAGGGGCAAUCGGAAUUCUUGGUGUAGCGGUGAAAUGCGUAGAUAUCAAGAGGAACACCUGAGGUGAAGACGGGUUGCUGGGCUGACACUGACGCUGAGGCGCGAAAGCCAGGGGAGCAAACGGGGAUUAGAUACCCUUGUAGUCCCUGAGCGGGCUGGCAAGGCGCAU